CUAAGCAUAUCAAUAAGCGGAGGAAAAGAAACCAACCGGGAUUGCCUCAGUAACGGCGAGUGAAGCGGCAAGAGCUCAAAUUUGAAAGCUGGCUCCUUCGGGGUCCGCAUUGUAAUUUGCAGAGGAUGCUUCGGGUGCAGCCCCCGUCUAAGUGCCCUGGAACGGGCCGUCAUAGAGGGUGAGAAUCCCGUAUGGGGCGGGGUGUCUGCGUCCGUGUGAAGCUCCUUCGACGAGUCGAGUUGUUUGGGAAUGCAGCUCUAAAUGGGUGGUAAAUUUCAUCUAAAGCUAAAUACUGGCCGGAGACCGAUAGCGCACAAGUAGAGUGAUCGAAAGAUGAAAAGCACUUUGAAAAGAGAGUUAAACAGCACGUGAAAUUGUUGAAAGGGAAGCGCUUGCAACCAGACUCGCUCGCGGGGUUCAGCCGGGCUUCGGCCCGGUGUACUUCCCCGCGGGCGGGCCAGCGUCGGUUUGGGCGGCCGGUCAAAGGCCUCCGGAAUGUAGCGCCCUUCGGGGCGCCUUAUAGCCGGGGGUGCAAUGCGGCCAGCCUGGACCGAGGAACGCGCUUCGGCACGGACGCUGGCAUAAUGGUUGUAAACGACCCGUCUUGAAACACGGACCAAGGAGUCUAACAUCUACGCGAGUGUUCGGGUGUCAAACCCGUACGCGCAGUGAAAGCGAACGGAGGUGGGAGCCCCCUCGCGGGGCGCACCAUCGACCGAUCCUGAUGUCUUCGGAUGGAUUUGAGUACGAGCGUAAAUGUGGGGACCCGAAAGAUGGUGAACUAUGCCUGAAUAGGGCGAAGCCAGAGGAAACUCUGGUGGAGGCUCGCAGCGGUUCUGACGUGCAAAUCGAUCGUCAAAUUUGGGUAUAGGGGCGAAAGACUAAUCGAACCAUCUGGUAGCUGGUUUCUGUUGAAG
rnacentral:rRNA from 1 species